rnacentral:rRNA from 2 species
UGGGGAAUAUUGCACAAUGGAGGGAACUCUGAUGCAGCGACGCCGCGUGAACGAAGAAGGCUUUCGAGUCGUAAAGUUCUUUUAUAUGGGAAGAUAAUGACGGUACCAUAAGAAAAAGCCCCGGCUAACUACGUGCCAGCAGCCGCGGUAAUACGUAGGGGGCUAGCGUUGUCCGGAAUCACUGGGCGUAAAGGGUUCGCAGGCGGAAAUGCAAGUCAGGUGUAAAAGGCAGUAGCUUAACUACUGUAAGCAUUUGAAACUGCAUAUCUUGAGAAGAGCAGAGGUAAGUGGAAUUUUUAGUGUAGCGGUGAAAUGCGUAGAUAUUAAAAAGAAUACCGGUGGCGAAGGCGACUUACUGGGCUCAUUCUGACGCUGAGGAACGAAAGCGUGGGUAGCAAACAGG